UCCAGGGGGCUCAAUCGUUAAUCGGAAUCACUGGGCUUAAAGGGUGCGCAGGCGGACGCGAAAGUGUCCUGUGAAAUCCCCCGGCUCAACCGGGGAAUUGCGGGGCAAACUACGCGUCUCGAGGCGGGUAGAGGCUGUCGGAACGCUAGGUGGAGCGGUGAAAUGCGUAGAGAUCUAGCGGAACGCCAAAGGUGAAGACAGGCAGCUGGGCCCGUCCUGACGCUCAGGCACGAAAGCGUGGGGAUAAAACGGG
rnacentral:rRNA from 1 species